rnacentral:rRNA from 1 species
GACGAACGCUGGCGGCGUGCCUAAUACAUGCAAGUUGAGCGCUGAAGGUUGGUACUUGUACCAACUGGAUGAGCAGCGAACGGGUGAGUAACGCGUGGGGAAUCUGCCUUUGAGCGGGGGACAACAUUUGGAAACGAAUGCUAAUACCGCAUAAAAACUUUAAACACAAGUUUUAAGUUUGAAAGAUGCAAUUGCAUCACUCAAAGAUGAUCCCGCGUUGUAUUAGCUAGUUGGUGAGGUAAAGGCUCACCAAGGGGAUGAUACAUAGCCGACCUGGGAGGGAGGUCCACCAACAUGGGAACGGGGAAACGCCCAAAACCCUACGGGAGGCAGCAGGAGGGAAUCUUUGGAAAUGGACGAAAGGCCGACCGAGCAACGCCGCGGGGGGGAAGAAGGUUCUCGGAUCGUAAAACUCUGUUGGUAGAGAAGAAAGUUGGUGAGAGUAGAAAGCUCAUGAAGUGACGGUAACUACACAGAAAGGGACGGCUAACUACGUG